AAGCGAGUGAAGGCUUGCCCCUUUAUCUUCCUGCCCAGACCUCCAUCAUGUCUGACUCUCCCUCCCUGUUUCUAUCUCUCUCUCUCUCUCUCUCUGUCUGUCUGUCUCUCUCUCUCAUGUUGUGAGAUUACUCAUCAGGCACAAAUUCUUGCCUGUAGAAUAAAAAAAAACAACAACUCAGUUUUUAUGUGUCAGACUACUUUGAAAAUGUGAUGAAACGGUCAGAACGGCCUCUUUGAUGAUGAUGUUUCAGAGCUCGUGGUGUGUUUUCAGACCAUUGGAAAGGAGGAAGAAGAUAUUCUAGGAGUUCGUACUGUUACUGGCUUCGACCUGGUCGUCCAGAUGUGUAGGUGUACAGGUUACAUUGUGGGUAACGAAGGCGCCAGAGUUUGACAAGAAGAAGAAUGUGUGGAAUAAAAAAUACGGCAUCCUUGGUUCUGCUGCAUCGAUUUGGUCCAUUGUGAGUCCGAAAAUGCUGUAAUGGUGCGGUGAUAAACUGAUGAGGGUGAUGAUGUCUGUGGUCAGAUCGGCUCCAGAGCUCAGCCCCUCCGAGGAGAAACAACCUGAUCUCCCUCCUGCGGCUUUCAGAGCCGCACUGACGGCCAGAGAGGGAGGAGGGAUGGAGGG